AAAUCCCCAACCCCUGUAAUAAAAUCUUAAGAACUCUGUGUGAAAUAUAUCUAGUUCCCUGAAACUAUAAACAGAAUUAGAAUUGUUUCUAAAACUGUGUUACAGAAGCUCGAGGCAAAAGGGAUAGAGAAAAGGACACCAGAGAAGAGCGAGAGUCUGAACAUGACCACAGGGAUGACAGAGAACCGCGAGACAGUCGGGACCGGAGAGACACUAGAGACCGCAGGGAACUUAGAGACUCCAGAGACAUGCGGGACUCCAGAGAGAUAAGGGAUUAUAGCAGAGACACCAAGGAGAGCCGUGAUCCCAGAGAUUCCCGGUCAGCUCGGGAUGUCCAUGACUACAGGGACCGUGAAGCUCGGGAUGCUCAUGCUCGAGAUGUUCGGGAUGUCAGGGAUGCUCGAGAUGCUCGAGAUGUUCGGGAUGUCCGGGAUGUCAGGGAUGCUCGAGAUGUCCGGGAUGUUCGGGAUGCUCGAGAUGUCCGGGAUGCCCGGGAUGUCCGGGAUGUUCGGGAUGUCCGGGAUGUCCGGGACACCAGAGAUGCCCGGGAUGCCCGGGAUGCUCGAGAUGGUCAUCGAAAGGAGGAUGUAUACCAGGAAGAAGCCCGUAGUUAUGGCAGAAACCACCUGAGAGAAGAGAGUUCUAGAGUUGAACUAAGGAAUGACUCUAGAAAUGAGUCUCGAAGUGAAAUUAGAAAUGACCGCAUGGGCAGAAGUAGGGGGAGAGGUCCAGAACUGCCUGAAAAGGGAGGUCGAAGCACAAGAGGUUCCCAAAUGGAUAGCCACAGUAGUGGCAGCAACUACCAUGACAGCUGGGAAACUCGAAGUAGCUAUCCUGAAAGAGACAGAUACCCUGAGAGAGAUACCAGAGAUCAAGCAAGGGAUUCUUCCUUUGAGAGAAGGCAUGGAGAAAGAGACCGUCGGGAUAACAGAGAACGAGAUCAAAGACCAAGCUCACCUAUUCGCCAUCAGGGGAGGAGUGAGGAGCUUGAGCGAGAGGAAAGAAGAGAGGAAA
rnacentral:lncRNA from 1 species